GCGGCGUGGAUUAGGCAUGCAAGUCGUGCGGAAAGGCCCUAGCUUGCUAGGGCACUCGAGCGGCGAAAGGGAGAGUAACGCGUAGGUUACCUACCUCCAGGACCGGGAUAGCGGCGGGAAACUGCCGGUAAUACCGGAUGACGUCUUUGGACCAAAGGUGUGAUUCCGCCUGGAGAGGGGCCUGCGUCCUAUUAGCUUGUUGGUGAGGUAACGGCUCACCAAGGCAAAGAUGGGUAGCGGGUGUGAGAGCAUGGCCCGUCUCACUGGGACUGAGACACUGCCCAGACACCUACGGGUGGCUGCAGUCGAGAAUCUUCGGCAAUGGGCGCAAGCCUGACCGAGCGACGCCGCGUGCAGGAUGAAGGCCUUCGGGUUGUAAACCGCUGUCAGAGGGAAGGAAAUGCAAAGGGGUUCUCUCCUUUGUUUGACCGAACCUCAGAGGAAGCACGGGCUAAGUUCGUGCCAGCAGCCGCGGUAAGACGAACCGUGCGAACGUUAUUCGGAAUCACUGGGCUUAAAGCGGGCGCAGGCGGUCUGUCAAGUCGGGUGUGAAAGCCCAGGGCUCAACCCUGGAACUGCACUCGAAACUGACAGACUUGAGUCUCGGAGAGG
rnacentral:rRNA from 1 species